AUACGUAGGUGGCGAGCGUUGUCCGGAUUUACUGGGCGUAAAGGGAGCGUAGGCGGACUUUUAAGUGAGAUGUGGAAUACCCGGGCUCAACUUGGGUGCUGCAUUUCAAACUGGAAGUCUAGAGUGCAGGAGAGGAGAAUGGAAUUCCUAGUGUAGCGGUGAAAUGCGUAGAGAUUAGGAAGAACACCAGUGGCGAAGGCGAUUCUCUGAACUGUAACUGACGCUGAGGCUCGAAAGCGUGGGGAGC
rnacentral:rRNA from 1 species